AUGCACGCUGGCGGCGUGCCUCAUCCAUGCAAGUCGAGCGAACGGACGAGAAGCUUGCUUCUCUGAUGUUAGCGGCGGACGGGUGAGUAACACGUGGAUAACCUACCUAUAAGACUGGGAUAACUUCGGGAAACCGUAGCUAAUACCGGAUAAUAUUUUGAACCGCAUGGUUCGAAAGUGAAAGACGGUCUUGCUGUCACUUAUAGAUGGAUCCGCGCUGCAUUAGCUAGUUGGUAAGGUAACGGCUUACCAAGGCAACGAUGCAUAGCCGACCUGAGAGGGUGAUCGGCCACACUGGAACUGAGACACGGUCCAGACUCCUACGGGAGGCAGCAGUAGGGAAUCUUCCGCAAUGGGCGAAAGCCUGACGGAGCAACGCCGCGUGAGUGAUGAAGGUCUUCGGAUCGUAAAACUCUGUUAUUAGGGAAGAACAUAUGUGUAAGUAACUGUGCACAUCUUGACGGUACCUAAUCAGAAAGCCACGGCUAACUACGUG
rnacentral:rRNA from 1 species